rnacentral:rRNA from 1 species
GAUGAAUGCUGGCUGUGUGGAUAAGGCAUGCAAGUCGAAUGCAUUUAGUUGCAUGGCGAACGAGGUAGUAACACGUAGGAUAACAUGCCCCAAAGUCAGGGAUAACCUGGAGAAAUCCAGAAUAAUACCUGAUAGACCCUUCUAUACUUUAGGUAGGGUAAAGAUUUAUCGCUUUGGGAUUGGCCUGCGGGAUAUCAGCUAGUUGGUAGUGUAAAGGACUACCAAGGCUAUGACGUCUAGGGGAGGUGAGAGCCUGACCCCCACCGAUGGAACUGAGACACGGUCCAUACUCCUACGGGAGGCCGCAGUCGAGAAUCUUCCGCAAUGGACGAAAGUCUGACGGAGCGACACAGCGUGGUAGAUGAAGUCUUUCGAGAUGUAAAUACCUUUUAUGAGUGAAGAAUUUUAUUGACACUAGCUCAUGAAUAAGGGGCUGCUAAUCACG